rnacentral:lncRNA from 1 species
GAAAACCGAGCCGACUCUGAGCCAAGCAGCUCGCAGUAUGGCUGGGGUUACUCAGUGACGUGCCAAUGGCACACAGUCCCUCCAUGAAGGGAUGUUCUCGACAAGUGGAGGUCUUCUUGACCUUGUGGCCACAGAAAUGUUAUGCACUCUACUCUGGCAUCCACCUGAGCGAGCUGUGCUUCGAGCGCAGCGGUCUGCUGUGGCAUCCACCUUGGUGGGCUCUGCUUAAAUUGCAGCAGUGUGCCUCUGCAUAGGAAUGACGAGAAAACCGAGCCGACUCUGAGCCAAGCAGCUCGCAGUAUGGUGGACACGGAUGAACAGUUAACCAAAGCCGUUGGUGAGAGCUAUGCUGGAUAC